rnacentral:rRNA from 1 species
GAUGAACGCUGGCGGCGUGCCUAAUACAUGCAAGUCGAGCGAACGGACGAGAAGCUUGCUUCUCUGAUGUUAGCGGCGGACGGGUGAGUAACACGUGGAUAACCUACCUAUCAGACUGGGAUAACUUCGGGAAACCGGAGCUAAUACCGGAUAAUCUUUUGAACCGCAUGGUUCAAAAGUGAAAGACGGUCUUGCUGUCACUUAUAGAUGGAUCCGCGCUGCAUUAGCUAGUUGGUAAGGUAACGGCUUACCAAGGCAACGAUGCAUAGCCGACCUGAGAGGGUGAUCGGCCACACUGGAACUGAGACACGGUCCAGACUCCUACGGGAGGCAGCAGUAGGGAAUCUUCCGCAAUGGGCGAAAGCCUGACGGAGCAACGCCGCGUGAGUGAUGAAGGUCUUCGGAUCGUAAAACUCUGUUAUUAGGGAAGAACAUAUGUGUAAGUAACUGUGCACAUCUUGACGGUACCUAAUCAGAAAGCCACGGCUAACUACGUG